GACCGACAGUGCGAGGAAUAUAAUACCACAAGGGAAUAACUCCGCUGUUCAUCUUUACAGUUUUGAGCUGUCGGUCGCCCUACU
rnacentral:ncRNA from 18 species